rnacentral:rRNA from 1 species
CACGUAGGGGGCAAGCGUUGUCCGGAUUCAUUGGGCGUAAAGAGCUCGUAGGCGGUUCGAUAAGUCGGGUGUGAAACCUCCAGGCUCAACCUGGAGACGCCACCCGAUACUGUCGUGACUAGAGUCCAGUAGGGGAGCGUGGAAUUCCUGGUGUAGCGGUGAAAUGCGCAGAUAUCAGGAGGAACACCGGUGGCGAAGGCGGCAUCCUGGACCGGCAUUGACGCUAAAGCGCGAAAGCCAGGGGAGCAAACGGG